rnacentral:rRNA from 1 species
AUUGAACGCUGGCGGCAGGCUUAACACAUGCAAGUCGAGCGCGCGGCGGACGGGUGAGUAAUGUCUGGGAAACUGCCUGCUGGAGGGGGAUAACUACUGGAAACGGUAGCUAAUACCGCAUACCAUCAGAUGUGCCCAGAUGGGAUUAGCUAGUAGGUGGGGUAAUGGCUCACCUAGGCGACGGUCCCUAGCUGGUCUGAGAGGAUGACCAGCGCGCCUGGAACUGAGACACGGUCCAGACUCGUACGGGAGGCAGCAGUGGGGAAUAUUGCAGAAUGGGCGCAAGCCUGAUGCAGUCAUGCCGCGUGUAUGAAGAAGGCUUUCGGGUUGUAAAGUACUUUCAGCGGGGAGGCGUUACCCGCAGAAGAAGCCCCGGCUAACUCCGUGCCAGCAGCCGCGGUAAUUC